CUUUUGCAUCCUUAAUCAACAAAUCAAUUUAUAUCAUUUCCAAACUAAUGAAAUCAACCCCAAUAUUAAUCAAAGCCAACCUUAGUCAACCUCUCCUUGCCCUCAUUCUUGAUCCUUGUCCAUUCAAAAAGAAAAACAAUCCACCAAACUCACCUCCGGAAGAGAGAGCUCCGACGAGACAAAAGCGCAACUAGACGGUUCCCCGAAGUAGGCUAACGCUAGUCGCCAUAUUCGAAUCAACGCCAUUUGAAUCUCGCAGCCGAUCCUAUUCAGCCCCUUUCCUGAGCCGCGACAACUACCAACGCAGCGCCGAAACGAAACCCCGCUGACUCCGUAUUGUAUCUUGGUCAACGUAAGGUUUUUGUGGUUAACUGUGGGCGACCUAGACUGCUUUGCUAGUUCACUUAUCGGAAAAAGGUAAUCCAGGGAAUGUUGGGAACUAGUGUUGAGGAGAGUAAAAUGCAGUUCAAGAAUAAAGACUUUUAUUUAUUUAAGUAUUUUGAAUUAAUUAAUAAUUAGGAUUCUUGGUUUGUUUUCGAAACUUUUGGUUGUCUUUUGGAUCCUAUUUUCCGUGUUAAACGGCUUGAGUUUGGUUUUUGAUAUCUGUAAUAGUGACACGUCAGCCCUAUUCGGGUCGGGGUGUUACACAACCGAUAGUCAUAUUGGGUAGACCGUUCCUUGCAACAGCUAGUGUGAUAAUAAAUUGUGCAACAGGAACAGUGAGCAUGAUGUUUGGGUACCGGGAAUUAAUUUUAAAUGUUUUUUUCCCAAAUUUACUAACCCGCUUGGUGAGGAUAAGUGUCCUAAGAAGGACAUGAAUCCGAACAAAAAGAUAUGUGCUAUGGUUGGUAGGUUUGGAGAAUCAAAGAAAAAACUGGUCAAGAAGAAGAAGGCGAAGGAGACGCAUCAAGAAAAGAGAGAAGAAGAGGAGUUGAGAAAGUUUGGCCCGUUUGGGAACAAAUUAUAUGAAUCACAGGUGGGUGAUUUGGAUGAGUUCGUGGGCGACAAGCACACUAUUCGACCACCAUGAGGUGGUAAGUUAAUUGUCGUUGUAUUCUUUUUGUAGUUCUUUUUAGUUUAUCUUCGUAGUCUAGUUGUCUUAUUGUACAUUUCCAUUCCAUACUUUGUUUUGCUUAGUAGUUAAAUGAACGUUGUGGGUGUGUUCACUAUAUAACCCU